ensembl:misc_RNA Metazoa_SRP Metazoan signal recognition particle RNA
GCCGUGUGUGGUGGCACACAUCUGUAGUCUCAGCUACUUGGGAGGCUGAGUCAGGAGGAUGGCUUGAGCCCAGGAGUUCUGGGCUAUUGUGAACUAUGUGAUCGGGCAUCUGCACUAAGUUUGGCAUCAAUAUGGUGACGUUUUGGGAGGAAGGGACCACCAGGUUGCCUAAGGUGACUGAGGAGGGGUUUCCAGGUUGGAAAUGGAGCAGCUGGACACUCCUGAGCUGAUCAGUAGUGCAACUGCUCCUGUGAGUAGCCGCUGCACUCCAGCUUGGGCAGCAUAGCGAGAUGCCACUUCU